rnacentral:rRNA from 1 species
UGGGGAAUAUUGGACAAUGGGGGCAACCCUGAUCCAGCCAUGCCGCGUGAGUGAUGAAGGCCUUAGGGUUGUAAAGCUCUUUCGCUAGGGAAGAUAAUGACGGUACCUAGAGAAGAAGCCCCGGCUAACUUCGUGCCAGCAGCCGCGGUAAUACGAAGGGGGCUAGCGUUGUUCGGAAUUACUGGGCGUAAAGCGCACGUAGGCGGACAUGUAAGUCAGGGGUGAAAUCCCAGGGCUCAACCCUGGAACUGCCUUUGAUACUGGGUGUCUUGAGUA